GACGAACGCUGGCGGCGUGCCUAAUACAUGCAAGUAGAACGCACAGUUUAUACCGUAGCUUGCUACACCAUAGACUGUGAGUUGCGAACGGGUGAGUAACGCGUAGGUAACCUGCCUGGUAGCGGGGGAUAACUAUUGGAAACGAUAGCUAAUACCGCAUAAUAUUGAUUAUUGCAUGAUAAUUAAUUGCAAGGUGCAAUUGCACCACUACCAGAUGGACCUGCGUUGUAUUAGCUAGUAGGUGAGGUAACGGCUCACCUAGGCGACGAUACAUAGCCGACCUGAGAGGGUGAUCGGCCACACUGGGACUGAGACACGGCCCAGACUCCUACGGGAGGCAGCAGUAGGGAAUCUUCGGCAAUGGACGAAAGUCUGACCGAGCAACGCCGCGUGAGUGAAGAAGGUUUUCGGAUCGUAAAGCUCUGUUGUAAGAGAAGAACGGGUGUGAGAGUGGAAAGUUCACACUGUGACGGUAGCUUACCAGAAAGGGACGGCUAACUACGUG
rnacentral:rRNA from 1 species